CCGUGGUCGUGUGCUAUACUGCAAGUCGAACGCGCGGAUCAGGAGCUUGCUCCUGUGACGCGAGUGGCGGACGGGUGAGUAACACGUAGGCAACCUGCCCAUCAGACUGGGAUAACCACGGGAAACCGUGGCUAAUACCGGAUAAUCCUUUCCCACACAAGUGGGAAAGUUGAAAGGCGGCUUCGGCUGUCACUGAUGGAUGGGCCUGCGGCGCAUUAUCUGGUUGGUGGGGUAACGGCCCACCAAGGCGACGAUGCGUAGCCGACCUGAGAGGGUGAUCGGCCACACUGGGACUGAGACACGGCCCAGACUCCUACGGGAGGCAGCAGUAGGGAAUCUUCCGCAAUGGACGAAAGUCUGACGGAGCAACGCCGCGUGAGUGAAGAAGGGUUUCGGCUCGUAAAACUCUGUUGUCAGGGAAGAACGCCGACGGGAGUAACUGCCCGUCGGGUGACGGUACCUGACCAGAAAGCCACGGCUAACUACGUGCCAGCAGCCGCGGUAAUACGUAGGUGGCAAGCGUUAUCCGGAAUUAUUGGGCGUAAAGCGCGCGUAGGCGGUUCGUUAAGUCUGAUGUGAAAGCCCCCGGCUCAACCGGGGAGGGUCAUUGGAAACUGGCGGACUUGAGUGCAGAAGAGGAGAGUGGAAUUCCAUGUGUAGCGGUGAAAUGCGCAGAGAUAUGGAGGAACACCAGUGGCGAAGGCGGCUCUCUGGUCUGCAACUGACGCUGAGGUGCGAAAGCGUGGGGAUCACACAGGAUUAGAUACCCUGGGAGUCCACGCCGUAAACGAUGAGUGCUAUGUGUUUAUGGGGUUUCCGCCCCUUAUUGCUGCAGCUAACGCAUUAAGCACUCCGCCUCGGGAGUACGGCCGCAAGGUUGAAACUCACAGGAAUUGACGGGGACCCGCACAAGCGGUGGAGCAUGUGGUUUAAUUUCGAAGCAACGCGAAGAACCUUACCACAUCUUGACAUCCUCCUGACCACCCUGGAGACAGGUUUCCCUUCUGGGCAGAGUGACAGUGUUGCAUGGUUGUCGUCAGCUCUGUCGUGGAGAUGUUGGGUAAGUCCCGCACGAGCGCACCCUUAUCAUAUUUGUCCAGCAUUCAUUGGCACUCUUAUGGAACUGCCGGGGACACCGGAGAAGGUGGGAUGAGCUCAAUUCUAUUGCCUUGAUGGUACCGCCCAGGACGGUUCAAGGCCCAACGCCAGCCAGC
rnacentral:rRNA from 1 species